rnacentral:rRNA from 1 species
GGAAUUUUGGACAAUGGGCGCAAGCCUGAUCCAGCAAUGCCGCGUGAGUGAAGAAGGCCUUCGGGUUGUAAAGCUCUUUUGUCAGGGAAGAAACGGUGAUCUCUAAUAUAGAUUGCUAAUGACGGUACCUGAAGAAUAAGCACCGGCUAACUACGUGCCAGCAGCCGCGGUAAUACGUAGGGUGCAAGCGUUAAUCGGAAUUACUGGGCGUAAAGCGUGCGCAGGCGGUUUUGUAAGACUGUCGUGAAAUCCCCGGGCUCAACCUGGGAAUGGCGAUGGUGACUGCAAGGCUAGAGUUUGGCAGAGGGGGGUAGAAUUCCACGUGUAGCAGUGAAAUGCGUAGAUAUGUGGAGGAACACCGAUGGCGAAGGCAGCCCCCUGGGUCAAAACUGACGCUCAUGCACGAAAGCGUGGGGAGCAAACAGGAUUAGAUACCCUUG